UACGUAGGGUGCGAGCGUUGUCCGGAAUUACUGGGCGUAAAGAGCUCGUAGGUGGUUUGUCGCGUUGUUCGUGAAAACUCACAGCUUAACUGUGGGCGUGCGGGCGAUACGGGCAGACUGGAGUACUGCAGGGGAGACUGGAAUUCCUGGUGCAGCGGUGGAAUGCGCAGAUAUCAGGAGGAACACCGGUGGCGAAGGCGGGUCUCUGGGCAGUAACUGACGCUGAGGAGCGAAAGCGUGGGGAGCAAACAGG
rnacentral:rRNA from 1 species